GUACUUGCUUUGGUGGCACAUAUACUAACUGUGAUGACACAGAGAAUAUUAGCAUGGCCCCAACACAGGGAUGACACAAUGCUAUGAAACUAGAAAUCAACUACA
rfam:Canis lupus familiaris chromosome 13, whole genome shotgun sequence.